rnacentral:lncRNA from 1 species
CAUGAAGGGGCCCGUGGGGUGUCGGUGACCGCUAACCCAAUGGAAUGUGACAUGUGACCGUGUUGUUUGACAGGGAGCCGUGGAGGACACCCUUAAUGCCCCAGGGCAGCCGCUCCAGCCACCCCUUCCUCCCUCCCCGUCCUCACUCCUUCCCCCUUGCCCCUUCUCAGCACCCUGCUGGGACAGGAGAGGUGUGGCAGACCGGAGAUGGACGGGAGAGCGAGACCAUGAGAGAGGAGAGGAGGGAGGCGAAGGGGUGGGGAUUUCCUGUGAACGCACCCCGCUCCGGGAGGUUCCAGGGGGACAGGAGCGGGUGAUGUAUGGAGACCCAGAGAGCCCCGCUCUGACACAAUUAACACGGAGGGUUAGAGGUUGUGAGAGAGGACAGAGGAACCAGGUGGAGGACCAAGAGGAGGACCUUUCCACGUAUAAAGAACCGGACCUGAGGGUGAGACUGUACCACAGCCCUGCUACUGCAGAACACCCACCCCUGUCUAGACUGCAUGUCCAUCUGAAAUGAUCUGGUAUCUCCUCUCUGAUGGGCUAUUUCUGCCAGGAACUGUCUAACCCAGGAGACUGCCUUACAAUUUACAUCAGUGUUUGAGCAACUGAAUCGUGUGAUAUCUGGAAUAUAUCAAAUGUGUUAUAUGGUCCUUUAAAAAUGGGUUUUCGUUUUAACCAGGAGCGAGUAAGGAGACGGAUAUUCCAAGCCGGUGAGGAGGCUCAGAAACCCAGCCCCAGCAGGAUGGGGAGAGGGGAGGAGAGGAGAAACCCCAGAGAGGAGAGCCACAGGGCUGGGUACAGAAACAUACGAGCCGACCCGGAAACAGACGGGGACUGGGUAGCUAAGAGGGGAAACGCCCUCCGAGGAAACGCUAAAACCACAGCGGAGGGCACGCAUGCACACGCACAGACGGAAAGCUGUGCAGACCCGCCCCCUGGGAUGGGAGAGCAGGCCCACACGCUGUCCGGGCGUUGCCAGGGGAAACGGCCGGCCCUGUCAACGAUGGAGGGUGCCCUGAUUCAGCCCGGCGGUGACAGCCAAGUGUUCAAGUGUCCAGCCCCUAUUUCCGUCCAGCCAGGCAUGAGCAGGCCGAAGACACUGUUGGAUGAUGAGGGUACGGUUUGUUAAUGGUUUGAAGUGACAACUACAAACCUCUUUUGCAAUGAUGACUCUGGACACAGCUAAACGGUCUCUAACCAAAUCCCUCCUGUGACCUUUUUCCUGUUACUUCUUGGACUCUCAGAUGCCUUGUUCGUGUGUUCAGAGCUGCUUGACAGUGAGAUCAGUACGAUCUUGGAGACCUCAGCCACCACACGUAACCCAACCUCCAGGUGCUCAGGUGUGUUUGGAAUGUGUGGUUGUGCAUGGUAGAGAUGCAGUCAGGGACUGAAGCAAUGAACAGAAUAAUUGUUUUAAACGUCAAAUUUUUUACAC